AUUUUGGGGAAAAGAAAUUAUGGGCGUAAAAGGUAAGUUGAUUGCUUCAAUAGAGGCGAAGUGUGGAGGACAUUUGAUUCAUGAUACUCUUCACUCCAAUAAUCAUCAUAUACCCAACAUAUGCCCUAGUAAGGUCAACCAUUUCCAGAUUCAUGGAGGUGAAAUCAUUAAGGUUGGUUCAAUUAUUAGCUAAAAAUAUAACGAGGAUGGAAAAGAAAAAUUUGCUAAGGAAGUGAUAGAGUCCAUCGAUCCUCAUAACAAAUCAAUCACUUGGAAAGUGAUUGAAGGAGAUUUGCUAGACUUAUAUAAUUCCUUCAAAGUCAUCACUACUAGUGAACAUGAGUGGACUAUAUUGACAUUCGUGUACGAGAAGAAAAAUGAAGAUAUACCUGGGCCCCUCACUAUAUUUGGUGAAUGGAUUGAUGUGAUCAAAGAGAUAGAUGGGCACCUUCUUAAGAAAUAAAAAAUCUAUAAAAUUCAACGAUUAUAUAUGUAUGUGUGCGUGUUUGUGCUUGUGUGAUGAAUCUUUAAUAAUAUCGGCUAGUUCUAGCUAGCAUGUGAAAUAAAUAAUGUUAUAUUUAAAGAAUA